rnacentral:tRNA from 1 species
GGUUUUAUAGCAUAACGUAAAUGCAUCAAAUUGCAAAUUUGAAAUAUAUGAGUUCGAUCCUCAUUAAAACCU